UACAGAGGGUGCAAGCGUUGUUCGGAAUUAUUGGGCGUAAAGGGAGUGUAGGCGGUUAUUUAAGUCUUCUGUGAAAUCUACGGGCUCAGCCUGUAACGUGCAGAGGAAACUGGGUGACUUGAGUGUCGGAGAGGAUAGUGGAAUUCCAGGUGUAGAGGUGAAAUUCGUAGAGAUCUGGAGGAACACCAGUGGCGAAGGCGACUAUCUGGCUGACAACUGACGCUGAGACUCGAAAGCAUGGGGAGCAAACAGG
rnacentral:rRNA from 1 species